rnacentral:lncRNA from 1 species
UAAUCUUUAAGAGGUUUAUUCAAAUUGUAUCUAUACUUCGAAAAUGUAUUGGAAGCUGAAAUCAAAGCCCUUUGAAGAGUUGAAUGGCAUGGGUAGUGAAGAAAAAAUUGAAUUGACGGAGCGCAACUAUUUGAUUUGUUCCUCAGUUUCAAGCAAGGAGGACUACAUGGUGGUUGGUGGAUGAAGAACAGGUGAUUGGGU